UGCGUAGGUGGCAAGCGUUGUCCGGAUUUACUGGGCGUAAAGAGCGCGCAGGCGGUCGCUCAAGUCGCGUGUGAAAGCCCCCGGCUCAACUGGGGAGGGUCACGCGAUACUGAUCGACUGGAAGGCAGGAGAGGGUAGUGGAAUUCCCGGUGUAGUGGUGAAAUGCGUAGAUAUCGGGAGGAACACCAGUGGCGAAGGCGACUACCUGGCCUGUUCUUGACGCUGAGGCGCGAAAGCUAGGGGAGCAAACGGG
rnacentral:rRNA from 1 species